rnacentral:lncRNA from 1 species
UUAAAUCAAACCAAAUCCCAAAAAAUCUCUCUAUCAUAACAAAUUUCCAAACAUAUCUCUUCCAAAUAUUAACUAAAACAAAUACAUUAAUUCAUAACGAAAAUAUACAAUUUAUUUUACAAACUCAUACUCUAGAAACGUCACCGUAGCCCCACCACCGCCUAUGAUCCGGGAACUGCGACGUCUAUGACUCCGCGAACU